UACGUAGGGACCAAGCGUUGUUCGGAUUUACUGGGCGUAAAGGGCGCGUAGGCGGCCACCGCAAGUCACUUGUGAAAUCUCCGGGCUUAACCCGGAAAGGUCAACUGAUACUGUGCGACUAGAGUGCGGAAGGGGCAACUGGAAUUCUUGGUGUAGCGGUGAAAUGCGUAGAUAUCAAGAGGAACACCUGCGGCGAAGGCGGGUUGCUGGGCCGACACUGACGCUGAGGCGCGAAAGCUAGGGAGCGAACGGAUGAG
rnacentral:rRNA from 1 species